UGAUCAAGGACCACCUGGCCUUGCAUAGCCAGUGGAGAACCAGGAGACUUACUGAAGGAUAAACUCUCCACUUUACAGCCUGCCACUGCAGCAGGAAAUGUUUUUCCAGGUUAUGGUUCUACUAUUAGUAAUACUAGUGCUCUAUAAUACAGGAUCACCCAACAGUACUCAUUCAACCAGGACGGACGCUAUGUGGAUGCGCAACUUACUCCUGUUGUCUCUCUAGCCGGAGCAGCCAGUAUGCUGGUUGUGCUGCCUUUAUGAUUUUAUGCCAGCUGCAUAAGGACAGGCAAUACUCAAUCCGGUACACAGCCUGCCAGGAGGAAGGUGUUUUUCAGAACAGCUGGAACAAAUGUGAAACCUGUGGGGUCAGUCUGAACCAGGGUAGCCAUUUGUUUCACCUGCAUAGUAGUGGGUUUUUUGUGGUCAGGACUAGGUGCUUAAAAACAGGCUUGCCAUCUGAUUGAACCAUGACCUCAGUAAAAUCCCAAUUUGUGCUUCUGGCUGGAGAGUCAGUGUCCCCCCAUGAUCACCCUGUUCCCUGCUGCAGAGCUGAGCUGUGCCUUACAAGGCAUUUUGUGUUUUUUGUCGUUGUGCCAAUGGUUCAAGGCUGCCAUAGUAAUUUUAAACCCUAAGGUAGAGAGAAACCAAUUUUUUUUUUUUUUUUUUUUUUUUUUUCUCCUCCCACAAAAAUGGCCUUGUUUGGAACUUGCUUUAGGGUUUGAAAAUUUUAACUAGUUUUUUGUAUUCCUGGUGUAACACCAUUAGAGACAUCAACAUGGCACCAGGCAGCACUCCAGAAAGCUGGCUGACUUGUCAGGGCACUGGAAGCAAUGUAGCCCCAUUAGCACCGAGCUCUGCCUGCGUUAAUGAAGCUGUGGUAAUGAACAACGUUGUGCUACGUAGCAUACCCUCGUGUCAGUAGAGUAACCAACCAAGAUAAAUUUUGAAUAUUCUUUUAAGAGGGUUUUCAAAUGUCUUUUGGUAUUUUUACUGAAAAAUACAGGUAUAUGCUACCCUGCCUGAUACUCCUUCUCUUUGCAUUGCUUGAAGAAUGUAGCUGGCCUGUUUGCAAUUUCUGGGUAACAGCUUAACACCAACAUUAAAACAUUUUUCUCAGGAUUGAUGAUGUUCUAUCAAGCUAGGCUAUCUGACAUAAUCACGUAAUUAAAUAUCUAGUUCUUUCAUGAUGCUUUAAUCAAAUAUCAGCCCUCCUUAGGGAGCUUAAGAAGAAGGGAAGUGCAGAAAGCAGGAAUAACUCCCUGCAAGUCACCCCCCAAGCCAGGGGCCGGGGCUCGGGGGAGGAAUCCCAGCCUCAAGUACUGGCCCAGGGAUUUUGUGAGGGGGCGGAAAACGCCGGGGUGACAGAAAUGAGAACGAUGGCCCAGCUGCACUGCGGGUCUCGGGCUGCUCAGGCAGGGCGGAGCUGGCCUCAGGACCGCUGUGUGCCGGCAGGCUCAGGUGAGUGACUCCGGGGCUCCGCAGGUGCACCGAGGCGGGGGGGGCGGACGGGGACAGGCCCGGUGGGGCCCCGGCCCCGUGAGGCACCAGGGGGCCCGGCCCCGUGGGGCCUGGUGGCCCUGGCGGUUGCGCGGCAAGGCGGGAUGGCGCGGCCUCCCCCGAGCUGCAGGAAAAGCUCAGCGAGAGCUGAGGAAAAACUUUAAAUGGGCCGUAGCCUGAAGAUGUUAUACUCUCCCUGGCUGACAGCCUCGGUCUGGACACCGGCCAGGGAGGACGAGAAUGGGGCCCUUGGGGUCUGAAGAUAUUAACAAAAUAAAUAACUCCGACCGCAGCGCCCCCUUCCACUCCCCUCAGCACAUUCCGCGGAGGAGCCGGCAGCACCCUUCCUCUCCCGCUGCCUCCUGAGGUAAAUCAGAUCCACCGCGUCUGCUUCGUAUUACUAAAAGAGGGAAACAACAACAACAAAAAAAAAAACCCAAUGUAAACGCUUGUACAGUUGCUGCGGAAACUGGAUAUAACCAGGUUAUUCAAAGGGAAAAAAUUAAGCCAUCCGUAUAUGUCAAGUUUGCCUUCACAUCUGUUAAUUGUAAGGGGAUGAUUGUGGAAAAAAGAGAAGUCAUGGUUUAGGGCCUGGUUCAGCAAAGCCUGUAAAUGUGUACUUCACAAAGCCAGGCUUAAAUCUAUCUCUUUUCAAUGAAGCCCUCACACAUGCUGGUGCUCAUGGAAAUAAAACAUGUUUUUCAGGGCUGUGCCGUGGGAGGAGAGCCAGCCUCCAUGGUGGGGCUGGAGCUCGACAGUCGGUGUCCUGUGAAGCUGUGAGGGCAUGCCAGUCCGCCCUUAGCCAAGAAAUUAUUAUCGUUGUAGUUAAAGAAAGAUGAGGCUGCAACUACUUUUUCUGAGGAGGUCGGUGUGACCAACGAGAAUGUAUACUGGAUGAGAUACAAGUGAUGACUGCAUGAAUCCUGAUGGACCCCCGUGUGAGAAAAUCUGCAGAAACAAAUGUGAAAAGCCCUUUCAGACACUGAAAUCCUGUCCCUGUCAAGGUAGUGAAAUACAGGACUACUCAUAUACCUACUGGUUGAAAAACUUGAUACUCUGAUAGUAGCAAGAAUUGCCCUGUCUCUUUCGACCAAGUCUGCAAGCUUAUCCAAAAGAUGGCCUCUUUCUGAUGCAUCCAUUCUCCUCCAGACUGAACCUAGAGAAAAAGCAAGGCGAGCUGCCCUCACUGCUUUGUCCGUAUCAAUCUGUCAAGAAGGAAGAAAAAAACCAAAGGCACUGAGGAACCCCUUGUAAUGAUACCAGAAUGUGGGCAAACCUCAUUAGUCUCCCUGCUGUUUACAAGACAGGAUUUAUGCUCAGUGUAGUGAACACAAUGACACAUGAUCACUAAAUGGCUAAAAUCACCAUCAAGACUUUAAUCUGUGAAUUUUUUCACCCAGACAUUGCAAAUACUAUUGGCAUGUAAAGGUGGGAAAGUGGAUCCUGGAUAAAAGUCCUGCCCAAGACAAGACUCCAAGCUGAAGACUCCAAUUAUCUAUAAAUCACUUGUAUUUCCUGCAGAGAAAGAGAAAAAGGAGGGAGAAGCGAGACAGACAGACAGAGACAGAGGAUAUACCAAGUGAAAUACUCAAUACCUGUCCUAAACCAAAUUUCUCUCAAAAGCAACCAGGAGUUAUCCAAUAUCUGAAAACCAAGCUUAGAAGAAACAUGCUGCUGUUGUUUUUGGCUUAAUAUUGAAAUAAAAUAACUUUCUUUUACUUG